UGCAAUUCAGGGAUGGAAACAUGUGAAGAAGCAAGGGAGAAGGCUGAAGCAACAUUAGAGGCACAGCAGAAACCAACUGCCCGUGCUGCCUCUUCCGGUCUGAUUUGAAGAAGAUUUCUCAAGCGGCUAUAAUUUCAUGGCAGGUAACCAUCUUCAGUUUUUCGGUUUGAUUUAAAGGAAUUUUUUAGGCAGAAAAGCUAGGGCUUUUGGUUCCCACUCAGAAGUUUGUACUGCCUCAUCAUUAAAAUUGUUCCCUUCUGCUCUUCUUGAAACAAGGUCGCAGGUCCGCAGACCAUCAAGAUAAUUUGGUUCAUGAUAAAGUUAUUGAACGUACGAUGGAACCAGUGAUCUUUCAAAAAGGAGAUGGUGGUUUUUUGGAUUUUGAGGCUUUUGUUUCCAGGCUGCAAAGCCCUGUGUACUCAAGGGUAUAGCCGAAACUGGAAAAGCUAAUGUACAUGACUUUCUUUAUGUUAACGGCAGACCAGUUCUCAUAGUUGAUGCUUCCAAGCAUCUUUCUGCUGCACCCAAGAGGAAGCUGCAGAAAGCUUAUCAUAUAGCUGCAAUCAAGUGCCCAUGACUCCUCCAACCAGUAACCCAACUAUGGACUAUCAAACGGCUGAUUCUGAGCACAUUCUGAAGAGAUCAAGACCUUUCGGGAUAACAUAUGAGGCCAAUAAUCUGCCAGUAAAUAUGCUGCCUGUUGCGUAUCCUAAUCAGAGCCAUGGUCAGAGUUCCUACUCUUCUGACGACUUGCCCAGGUCUGUUGUUAUGACUUUAUGUCCGGGUUCAACUGUCAAGAGUAUGGAUUUCCACCCAGUGCAACAGAUUUUACUUCUUGUUGGAACAAACAUGGGCGAUGUCAUGGUAUAUGAGCUACCAAGCGAUGAAAAGAUUGCUAUUAAGAACUUCAACCAUGGUGCAUGUUCAGUGGCUCUGCAGGUUUGGCUCUUGGUAUUCUGUAAAAUAAAGCUAUACAAACUUUCAAUGUGCAAUUGGCAUCUGUGGAAUUGGCAUGCUAUAACUUUCAAUGUUUAUCAUACAUAACGAAAGGGAAUACGAUUUAUCUAGAAAAUAUGAAAUCAUUCAUUGUAAUUUUGGCUAUAUAUGAUUUGCUUCUGUUUUUCAUUUCAGAACACGUUGUUCUUUGUUUUUUGUAAUUUUGUUUUUAUAAUUUUGGAUAUUUUGUUUAUAUCGUAAGAUCAUUUGGUUGUAUGAUUUGCUUUUGUUUUUUGUUUCGGAACACUUUGCUCUUCAUUUUUUGGGGCUUUUAUCUACAAUUUUCGAAGCCCUUUAUGCUCAAGGUAAAUAAUUUUGGAUUU